UUCCAUGAGGCAGCACAGUGUCACAAUGGCCCCUUGGUUCCAUGAGGUUCUGUAGUGCCACCGUGGUGUCCUUGGACCUGCAUUGUCACAACUGACCCACGGUUCCAUGAGGUUCUGCAGUGUCACUGUAGCAGUCAGAGGCCCUGCAAGGCCUCCCUGGCGGUCACUCACCUAAGAUAAGAAAUGCCUAAGUCACGGUGACUGGACCAAAGAAGCCCCUCUUCUGCAUUCAGACCCUUCUUAUCUCUCUUUUGGCAGAAGAGCUGUCACUGCAUCCCUUCAGAGGAGCUGGCAAUAAAGGACAUCGCUGUGGAACCACAUACAGCCUUUUCCUCUCUCUGUCCCUGUGUGUCUGCCAGAGGCACUUGUGAGCACAGAGCGAAAUCACUGAGAGCUGAACUCACAGAGCUGAAAUCACUCCAGAGGUGCUCACUAAGUUGCCUGUGGCUGGGAGCUGAGCCGAGGGACCCAGACAGGCUGAGCCUGACAGCGCAGCGCUAUCCGGACACCCACGGCAGCGGCAGCCCGGGGGUCAGAUGGACCCCUGGGACCCCAGAGUGCAUUAUGUGGCCGCCUGAACAAUGAAUGGAGCACUGGCAUCCUGGCACCCCUGAGAGCAGCAUUCUUUGUGAAUUGUUACUGCCUUGGACGGCUAUGGCCCCUUGAAGGUAACUCCUCCUUUAUAGAAGUUUUCUGAAGAGGCGUCAAACGAAUUUGCAUAUCACUAUCCUCAGGAGUUGGACGGCAGACCACCCACCCAGCAGUUCCUUGACCCACAUUUGGCUGAAGAAGUGUAAGUUUAAAACAGCCUUUUUAUGCACUUUUAUCUUGGGUCCUUUUUUGUUUUAUUUUUUCCUUUUUACUGCUGGGGGUAUGGAAGAGAACGAAACUGAAAUGGGAUCAAAAUUUAGUAAAUUAAACAAUACCAGAACGAAAGAGACUUAUAUUUACAAAUCCUACAAAUCCUAUCUGCUAACAGCUUUUCUUUCUCUAAAGGCAAUCUUUCAAAAACUGACU